UACCUAGGUGGCGAGCGUUGUCCGGAUUUACUGGGCGUAAAGGGAGCGUAGGCGGACUUUUAAGUGAGAUGUGAAAUACUCGGGCUCAACUUGAGUGCUGCAUUUCAAACUGGAAGUCUAGAGUGCAGGAGAGGAGAAUGGAAUUCCUAGUGUAGCGGUGAAAUGCGUAGAGAUUAGGAGGAACACCAGUGGCGAAGGCGAUUCUCUGGACUGUAACUAACGCUGAGGCUCGAAAGCGUGGGGAGCAAACAGG
rnacentral:rRNA from 1 species